rnacentral:rRNA from 1 species
UUGGAGGGCAAGUCUGGUGCCAGCAGCCGCGGUAAUUCCAGCUCCAAUAGCGUAUAUUAAAGUUGUUGCAGUUAAAAAGCUCGUAGUUGAACUUCGGGGUUUACUCAUUGGUCAGGCUUAAUUGUCUGCACUGGUGAGAUGAAUCUCUACCUUCUGAGGAACUUUCAUGUCAUUUAUUUGGUGUGAUUGGAAAUCAGGACUGUUACUUUGAAAAAAUUAGAGUGUUUAAAGCAGGCUAACGUCUGAAUACAUUAGCAUGGAAUAAUGAAAUAGGACGGACUGAUUCUAUUUCGUUGGUUUCUAGGAUCACCGUAAUGAUUAAUAGGGAUAGUUGGGGGCAUUAGUAUUCAAUUGUCAGAGGUGAAAUUCUUGGAUUUAUUGAAGACUAACUACUGCGAAAGCAUUUGCCAAGGAUGUUUUCAUUAAUCAAGAACGAAAGUUAGGGGAUCGAAGACGAUCAGAUACCGUCGUAGUCUUAACCAUAGACUAUGCCGACUAGGGAUCGGACGAAGUUAAUUUUAUAAUGACGCGUUCGGCGCCUUACGGGAAAC